GUAGGAGGUUAGAUCCCAAGCCACUGGGGGAUUUUUAAGGCUUUGCUAAGAAUUUUAGACUUUCAUUACAUUAUCAGUGGGGAGCCAUGGAAAGUUUAGGAAAAGUGUGACAACCUUAGAUUUGCGUUUUCGAAAGAUCACUGGCAGCUGGAGUGUAGUGGGGCAAGGGUGACAAGCAGGGAGACUAUUUACAGGGUUACGGCAGUAUCCCAGUGAAAGAUGCUGGGAGCCUGGAACAGGAUAAUGGCAGGUAGAGACACAAAACAGUGGAUGAAUUUGGGAUGUAUAGUAUUUUGGAAGUAGGGCCACAGGGCCUGGUGAUUAAUUGAAACUUUAGCACAAUAAUCACACAAAGUCGAAGAUCCUCCCCAGCAACAUUAGCUAAUAGGUUAUUGAUAAGUUGCAAAAUCUUCCCCAUUCUCCCUUGGCAAAGAUUCAAAAGCCC
rnacentral:lncRNA from 10 species